rnacentral:rRNA from 1 species
UACAGAGGGGGCAAGCGUUAUUCGGAAUUAUUGGGCGUAAAGGGCGCGUAGGCGGCUUUUCAAGUGACGGGUGAAAUCCCUCGGCUUAACCGAGGAACUGCCUGUCAGACUGGAAGGCUUGAGACCGGGAGAGGUGAGUGGAAUUCCCAGUGUAGCGGUGAAAUGCGUAGAUAUUGGGAGGAACACCAGUGGCGAAGGCGGCUCACUGGACCGGAACUGACGCUGAUGCGCGAAAGCGUGGGGAGCAAACAGG